CCUAAGGCGAGGCCGAAAGGCGUAGUCGAUGGGAAACAGGUUAAUAUUCCUGUACUUGGUGUUACUGCGAAGGGGGGACGGAGAAGGCUAUGUUGGCCGGGCGACGGUUGUCCCGGUUUAAGCGUGUAGGCUGGUUUUCCAGGCAAAUCCGGAAAACCAAGGCUGAGGCGUGAUGACGAGGCACUACGGUGCUGAAGUGACAAAUGCCCUGCUUCCAGGAAAAGCCUCUAAGCAUCAGGUAACAUCAAAUCGUACCCCAAACCGACACAGGUGGUCAGGUAGAGAAUACCAAGGCGCUUGAGAGAACUCGGGUGAAGGAACUAGGCAAAAUGGUGCCGUAACUUCGGGAGAAGGCACGCUGAUAUGUAGGUGAAGCGACUUGCUCGUGGAGCUGAAAUCAGUCGAAGAUACCAGCUGGCUGCAACUGUUUAUUAAAAACACAGCACUGUGCAAACACGAAAGUGGACGUAUACGGUGUGACGCCUGCCCGGUGCCGGAAGGUUAAUUGAUGGGGUUAGCGGUAACGCGAAGCUCUUGAUCGAAGCCCCGGUAAACGGCGGCCGUAACUAUAACGGUCCUAAGGUAGCGAAAUUCCUUGUCGGGUAAGUUCCGACCUGCACGAAUGGCGUAAUGAUGGCCAGGCUGUCUCCACCCGAGACUCAGUGAAAUUGAACUCGCUGUGAAGAUGCAGUGUACCCGCGGCAAGACGGAAAGACCCCGUGAACCUUUACUAUAGCUUGACACUGAACAUUGAGCCUUGAUGUGUAGGAUAGGUGGGAGGCUUUGAAGUGUGGACGCCAGUCUGCAUGGAGCCGACCUUGAAAUACCACCCUUUAAUGUUUGAUGUUCUAACGUUGGCCCGUAAUCCGGGUUGCGGACAGUGUCUGGUGGGUAGUUUGACUGGGGCGGUCUCCUCCUAAAGAGUAACGGAGGAGCACGAAGGUUGGCUAAUCCUGGUCGGACAUCAGGAGGUUAGUGCAAUGGCAUAAGCCAGCUUGACUGCGAGCGUGACGGCGCGAGCAGGUGCGAAAGCAGGUCAUAGUGAUCCGGUGGUUCUGAAUGGAAGGGCCAUCGCUCAACGGAUAAAAGGUACUCCGGGGAUAACAGGCUGAUACCGCCCAAGAGUUCAUAUCGACGGCGGUGUUUGGCACCUCGAUGUCGGCUCAUCACAUCCUGGGGCUGAAGUAGGUCCCAAGGGUAUGGCUGUUCGCCAUUUAAAGUGGUACGCGAGCUGGGUUUAGAACGUCGUGAGACAGUUCGGUCCCUAUCUGCCGUGGGCGCUGGAGAACUGAGGGGGGCUGCUCCUAGUACGAGAGGACCGGAGUGGACGCAUCACUGGUGUUCGGGUUGUCAUGCCAAUGGCACUGCCCGGUAGCUAAAUGCGGAAGAGAUAAGUGCUGAAAGCAUCUAAGCACGAAACUUGCCCCGAGAUGAGUUCUCCCUGAGACUUAGAGUCUCCUGAAGGAACGUUGAAGACGACGACGUUGAUAGGCCGGGUGUGUAAGCGCAGCGAUGCGUUGAGCUAACCGGUACUAAUGAACCGUGAGGCUUAACCUU
rnacentral:rRNA from 1 species